GGUGGGAACUGGGAAGGGGGCGAGCGGGACGGGCGGGGCGGCAGAUGGGGAGGCGGCUAGGGUUCUACCUGCUGCUGGCGGAAGUAGCAGGGUUUGAAGGAGCGGCAGAUGUGGGCAUGGUUGCGGUUGGGGAAGGCUCACCGGCUGGGGGACGGCGAGCAUCGGUGAGCGCAACGAAAGGAAGCCAGGCAUCGGCGUACGGCAACGAUUUUGGCGCCUGCGGCAUGACGGCGAGUCGCCGCCGAACGCUCAGCGAUGGGGCGAGUUGGUUAAGGUGUCAGUGGCGCCUUUGCUUGUCGCCAAGGAUGGCACGUGCGCGAUCUGAAGUACGACGUCGGCCAACUUCGGCCUCCGAGGCUUCCCUGACACCCUCCUCUACCACUACCUCAAUAAAAAGGUCUUCGAAGGAUUAGGGCUUAGGGCAACUCGAUGGCAGCCAGUCGGAGUUUGCUAAGUUGCAUAUGCAAGUCCUUUUGAAAUAUGAAACUUCUGUCUGGUGAUGAGCUUCUGCUCAUCUUGCUUCUGCUCAUCUUGAUUGAUUCAUCUCCAGUGAAGGGGUGUGCCUUUUGAUGCAUUCAUUUUCUCUUUCAUACAUGGUGUUCAUCUUUGUUUUGGAGAACAACACCCUUGCUGAUGUUCAUCUUCUCUAUGUAUGCAGGGGGCUUGUCCUUCCAUGGUGCUCAGCCACGGACAGAUUUGGAGCGAAAAUAGGAGAUCCUGACAAUAAUGAGCAUGCUAGCGGUGGAUCCAAGGAUGCAUGGUGAUUGUGCCAGGUUUGUGCUCUGGCUCUUCUGUUGGGUACACAUGAAUCUAUGAUCCAGAUUCUAGCUACACCCUUUACUACAACAAUCUCAGGCUUUACUGAAAAGUGUACUGCUUAUAUAGUUGAUAUCUUUAAUUCAUAUGGUCGUCCGCUGGAUGAUCACUGGUCUUCGGUUCAUAUGGUCACUGGCUGGAAGCUUGCUGUUAUGUUUGCUUCAUAUGGUGGUCGACUGGAAGCUCGCGGUCUGAAUGAUCUCAUUGUCUAUGGCCGGCAAUACACACUUUUCAUUACUACCAGCCAGGGGUUCACGGGCCAUCAUGAUGAUAUACUUGGUUCUUUAAAGAAGAAUGAUAAGAACUAACGAGGGUUGUCUUGUCCAAGAGCUCUGCCGCGAUGGCAUCGCCACUCAGUGAUGCCUCAGCAGGAAGGCUAAUCGCAGGGAGGUGCGACAUGGGUGGCCUAAAAAGCUAAUUUGGUGCCCUCUCUCUUUGCCUCUUGUUUCCUCCAGCACCUUGAUUUUGAUGGCUAAUAUAUUGACUUUCUAAACAUCUUUAAUUUAUAAGGAAUGUAGUAGUUAUAUGCUUUUCAUUUAUGAUAGAGAGAUUGAACCUAGGUGUCUUGCUUGCUGCUUUGUAAUAUAAGCAUGAUAUUUUUCUGCCGACUUUGUGGACAGGCUAACAAUGAAAAUUUUAUCUGUAAAAUAUGGUGAUCCCUAUAGUGCUAUUUCUGAAGCUUCGCUGUGCUUGCUUUCCCCCAACAAGCAGUAAUCCAAUCACGGGUGCAUCAGGUACUAUAUCAUGUGAGAAAAUCAAACUGCUCAUUCAUAAGACAGGAUUUCCGCUCACAUUUAUCAUGCUUCGACACUCACAAAAUAUCUUGUGAGCAUUAAUGCCCGCAAGCCCAACCUGAAGAGAGUAAGCAUCUCUUCUUAUUCUCCCUCUCCCUCAAUUUGCUUUUUUGAUUGUCUUGAUUUGGUAUUGUGAUAUGGUAGUUGUAUACUUCUGAGUGUUAUUCCAUUAUUAUAUCCUCUGAAAUGUUAAAACCUGACUAGAUCUGGAUAUUGUAUGUAUUAUUACGUCUACAUAUGGAGGAGCAGAGCAUUGCAUCGGACCUUUGCCUGUUGAUAUAUAGUACGUCGUCCUUCUCAAGCACAUCGGCUUAACAUACUGAUGCCACCCAUGGUGGCCUUGGGUUCUGAUUGAGGCAUCAGCCACGGACGUGGGAUUGCCAGUUCGUAGUUUUGUUCCACUGAAUUUUUCAUACUCGAGCUUUUGGGCCUACGCUACAACCAGCAGUAUCCAAGACAGGUGGCCGCCUUUUGUACCAUGUUCAAAAGGAAUUGGUGCUCUGAAAUUCAAUAAUUUUUUGCAGGUUUCCUCUCGGUUGCUCAGGUUCACAAUCACAGCAAGUAACCAUAUGGUUUUCCACAGGCAACUGCGCAACAUUAUUUUUCAGGAGGACAAGUAAUCAACUUAUUUCACAUUCAGUACACUACAAACAACUGCUGACACAAUGAGGUUCAACCAUGAUCGUAGCCACCGAUGUCUAAACGCUCUUAUAUUUCUUUACAAUGGAGUAUUUGAUAGUUCAUAGUUGAUAGCACUGAAUAAAGUAUUCCAGAAUAUUACUUAUGUAUCUUAUCACUUGCUCUCUAUUUUUGCCAGCGUGUAUCAGAUUGGUUAUUGUUGUUUCAAUACAGUUUGUGGUUUUAGUAUUUUUUUUAUCAUGCUGAAGCUUUAGUUAGAUUUUUUGUGGGAGUUUCAAGAGCAAUUUUUUUCUUUGCUUGCAGCCGCUAUUUUACUGUUCAACACUGGUAUAGUUGAAGAAUAAUAUUUAGAGAAGUCCCCCAUCAGCAUAUCUGAGCUUAGCCGAGACGACAUGCAUCUACGGGGAGAAUCACCAUGAUGGACUGCAUCUGCCCAGACGAUCGUUGCGACGGCCACAACGAAGUGCAUCUCUCAAUUCCAGGAUCAACAUGCUGGACGAAUCCUCCUUUCAUGUUAAGUUGCAACAGUGCAAGCAAACACCAUGGAGGCUUCUGUAGUUAGGGACGGUGAAUCUGCAUCAACAGUGCUGGAUGGAAAUUGCUCGCCGUCCUUCCUCCAUAAACCACGUAGGGACCUUGUAUUAGCCUCCCCAUCUAUCCGUCAGGAAGCCCUGACUUUCCCUGCUAUUGCUGUCAAAAAUGCUACCCUUGUAGCACACGAACUGAACUUAAGUAUGUCACAUGGAGCUUCAGGUAACAAAUCUAAAAGAACCAAAAUUAAUGUAUGGCAUGUCUUUCGUCA